UACUUCCUACGGGGGGCAGCAGUGAGGAAUAUUGGUCAAUGGUCGGGAGACUGAACCAGCCAAGCCGCGUGAGGGAGGAAGGUACAGAGUAUCGUAAACCUCUUUUGUCAGGGAACAAAGACUGGGACGCGUCCCCGGAUGAGUGUACCUGAAGAAAAAGCAUCGGCUAACUCCGUGCCAGCAGCCGCGGUAAUACGGAGGAUGCGAGCGUUAUCCGGAUUUAUUGGGUUUAAAGGGUGCGCAGGCGGCGAGUUAAGUCAGCGGUAAAAUUUCGGGGCUCAACCCCGACGAGCCGUUGAAACUGG
rnacentral:rRNA from 1 species